UCAUCACCAUCACGCUACUGAAUAAUCUUUCAGGCGUUUGGUAUUGCUUGGAAGAUUCAACUUCCGAGAGUACGAAUUUCAGUUACACCCUUCGGAAGUGAUUUCGAAGGGUUUUUUAA
rfam:Gallibacterium anatis TMN179, complete genome.